GGGUAAGGCUUAGUGGUUUGAAUAUCAGACUAGGACUCUGGAGACCAGGGUUCAAUUUCCAGCUUGGCCA